GCCCGCCUAGCUCAAUCGGCCAGAGCGUCAGACUUUUACGGCCUAGGCAUCUGAAGGCUGCGAGUUCGACCCUCGCGGUGGGCU